rnacentral:rRNA from 1 species
UACAGAGGGUGCAAGCGUUGUUCGGAAUUAUUGGGCGUAAAGGGCGCGUAGGCGGUGCUGUAAGUCUGUGGUGAAAUCUCUGGGCUCAACUCAGAGUCUGCCAUAGAAACUGCAGUGCUGGAGUGUGGGAGAGGUGAGUGGAAUUCCCGGUGUAGCGGUGAAAUGCGUAGAUAUCAGGAGGAACACCGGUGGCGAAGGCGGGUCUCUGGGCCACUACUGACGCUGAGAAGCGAAAGCAUGGGGAGCGAACAGG